GGGUUGUGAGGUUAAGCGACUAAGCGUACACGGUGGAUGCCCUGGCAGUCAGAGGCGAUGAAGGACGUGCUAAUCUGCGAUAAGCGUCGGUAAGGUGAUAUGAACCGUUAUAACCGGCGAUUUCCGAAUGGGGAAACCCAGUGUGUUUCGACACACUAUCAUUAACUGAAUCCAUAGGUUAAUGAGGCGAACCGGGGGAACUGAAACAUCUAAGUACCCCGAGGAAAAGAAAUCAACCGAGAUUCCCCCAGUAGCGGCGAGCGAACGGGGAGCAGCCCAGAGCCUGAAUCAGUGUGUGUGUUAGUGGAAGCGUCUGGAAAGGCGCGCGAUACAGGGUGACAGCCCCGUACACAAAAAUGCACAUGCUGUGAGCUCGAUGAGUAGGGCGGGACACGUGGUAUCCUGUCUGAAUAUGGGGGGACCAUCCUCCAAGGCUAAAUACUCCUGACUGACCGAUAGUGAACCAGUACCGUGAGGGAAAGGCGAAAAGAACCCCGGCGAGGGGAGUGAAAAAGAACCUGAAACCGUGUACGUACAAGCAGUGGGAGCACGCUUAGGCGUGUGACUGCGUACCUUUUGUAUAAUGGGUCAGCGACUUAUAUUCUGUAGCAAGGUUAACCGAAUAGGGGAGCCGAAGGGAAACCGAGUCUUAACUGGGCGUUAAGUUGCAGGGUAUAGACCCGAAACCCGGUGAUCUAGCCAUGGGCAGGUUGAAGGUUGGGUAACACUAACUGGAGGACCGAACCGACUAAUGUUGAAAAAUUAGCGGAUGACUUGUGGCUGGGGGUGAAAGGCCAAUCAAACCGGGAGAUAGCUGGUUCUCCCCGAAAGCUAUUUAGGUAGCGCCUCGUGAAUUCAUCUCCGGGGGUAGAGCACUGUUUCGGCAAGGGGGUCAUCCCGACUUACCAACCCGAUGCAAACUGCGAAUACCGGAGAAUGUUAUCACGGGAGACACACGGCGGGUGCUAACGUCCGUCGUGAAGAGGGAAACAACCCAGACCGCCAGCUAAGGUCCCAAAGUCAUGGUUAAGUGGGAAACGAUGUGGGAAGGCCCAGACAGCCAGGAUGUUGGCUUAGAAGCAGCCAUCAUUUAAAGAAAGCGUAAUAGCUCACUGGUCGAGUCGGCCUGCGCGGAAGAUGUAACGGGGCUAAACCAUGCACCGAAGCUGCGGCAGCGACGCUUAUGCGUUGUUGGGUAGGGGAGCGUUCUGUAAGCCUGCGAAGGUGUGCUGUGAGGCAUGCUGGAGGUAUCAGAAGUGCGAAUGCUGACAUAAGUAACGAUAAAGCGGGUGAAAAGCCCGCUCGCCGGAAGACCAAGGGUUCCUGUCCAACGUUAAUCGGGGCAGGGUGAGUCGACCCCUAAGGCGAGGCCGAAAGGCGUAGUCGAUGGGAAACAGGUUAAUAUUCCUGUACUUGGUGUUACUGCGAAGGGGGGACGGAGAAGGCUAUGUUGGCCGGGCGACGGUUGUCCCGGUUUAAGCGUGUAGGCUGGUUUUCCAGGCAAAUCCGGAAAAUCAAGGCUGAGGCGUGAUGACGAGGCACUACGGUGCUGAAGCAACAAAUGCCCUGCUUCCAGGAAAAGCCUCUAAGCAUCAGGUAACAUCAAAUCGUACCCCAAACCGACACAGGUGGUCAGGUAGAGAAUACCAAGGCGCUUGAGAGAACUCGGGUGAAGGAACUAGGCAAAAUGGUGCCGUAACUUCGGGAGAAGGCACGCUGAUAUGUAGGUGAAGUCCCUUGCGGAUGGAGCUGAAAUCAGUCGAAGAUACCAGCUGGCUGCAACUGUUUAUUAAAAACACAGCACUGUGCAAACACGAAAGUGGACGUAUACGGUGUGACGCCUGCCCGGUGCCGGAAGGUUAAUUGAUGGGGUCAGCGCAAGCGAAGCUCUUGAUCGAAGCCCCGGUAAACGGCGGCCGUAACUAUAACGGUCCUAAGGUAGCGAAAUUCCUUGUCGGGUAAGUUCCGACCUGCACGAAUGGCGUAAUGAUGGCCAGGCUGUCUCCACCCGAGACUCAGUGAAAUUGAACUCGCUGUGAAGAUGCAGUGUACCCGCGGCAAGACGGAAAGACCCCGUGAACCUUUACUAUAGCUUGACACUGAACAUUGAGCCUUGAUGUGUAGGAUAGGUGGGAGGCUUGGAAGUGUGGACGCCAGUCUGCAUGGAGCCGACCUUGAAAUACCACCCUUUAAUGUUUGAUGUUCUAACGUUGACCCGUAAUCCGGGUUGCGGACAGUGUCUGGUGGGUAGUUUGACUGGGGCGGUCUCCUCCUAAAGAGUAACGGAGGAGCACGAAGGUUGGCUAAUCCUGGUCGGACAUCAGGAGGUUAGUGCAAUGGCAUAAGCCAGCUUGACUGCGAGCGUGACGGCGCGAGCAGGUGCGAAAGCAGGUCAUAGUGAUCCGGUGGUUCUGAAUGGAAGGGCCAUCGCUCAACGGAUAAAAGGUACUCCGGGGAUAACAGGCUGAUACCGCCCAAGAGUUCAUAUCGACGGCGGUGUUUGGCACCUCGAUGUCGGCUCAUCACAUCCUGGGGCUGAAGUAGGUCCCAAGGGUAUGGCUGUUCGCCAUUUAAAGUGGUACGCGAGCUGGGUUUAGAACGUCGUGAGACAGUUCGGUCCCUAUCUGCCGUGGGCGCUGGAGAACUGAGGGGGGCUGCUCCUAGUACGAGAGGACCGGAGUGGACGCAUCACUGGUGUUCGGGUUGUCAUGCCAAUGGCACUGCCCGGUAGCUAAAUGCGGAAGAGAUAAGUGCUGAAAGCAUCUAAGCACGAAACUUGCCCCGAGAUGAGUUCUCCCUGACUCCUUGAGAGUCCUGAAGGAACGUUGAAGACGACGACGUUGAUAGGCCGGGUGUGUAAGCGCAGCGAUGCGUUGAGCUAACCGGUACUAAUGAACCGUGAGGCUUAACCUUACAACGCCGAAGCUGUU
rnacentral:rRNA from 1 species